GGCAAACUGCAGAAAAUCGUCACCCUGCCAUAUCCAGGUGCAACAACUGAGUCUACAGACACAAAAAAAACUGUUUUGUUGUUGACGUCAUUGGCUACACUGCAGAUAGACGAUCAGCAGGAGGGAACAGAGGAGAAGACCGGUGUGUGCCACCAUCGUUGACAUCGGCGACGGACAAAAAUCCAUGAGCGGCUUGUGUUUCCAUGGCAACACCUAAGGGCUGGGAUGAGGCUAC